AGAGUUUGAUCCUGGCUCAGGAUGAACGCUGGCGGCGUGCCUAAUACAUGCAAGUCGAGCGAACAGAUAAGGAGCUUGCUCCUUUGACGUUAGCGGCGGACGGGUGAGUAACACGUGGGUAACCUACCUAUAAGACUGGGAUAACUUCGGGAAACCGGAGCUAAUACCGGAUAACAUUUGGAACCGCAUGGUUCUAAAGUGAAAGAUGGUUUUGCUAUCACUUAUAGAUGGACCCGCGCCGUAUUAGCUAGUUGGUAAGGUAACGGCUUACCAAGGCGACGAUACGUAGCCGACCUGAGAGGGUGAUCGGCCACACUGGAACUGAGACACGGUCCAGACUCCUACGGGAGGCAGCAGUAGGGAAUCUUCCGCAAUGGGCGAAAGCCUGACGGAGCAACGCCGCGUGAGUGAUGAAGGGUUUCGGCUCGUAAAACUCUGUUAUUAGGGAAGAACAAACGUGUAAGUAACUGUGCACGUCUUGACGGUACCUAAUCAGAAAGCCACGGCUAACUACGUGCCAGCAGCCGCGGUAAUACGUAGGUGGCAAGCGUUAUCCGGAAUUAUUGGGCGUAAAGCGCGCGUAGGCGGUUUCUUAAGUCUGAUGUGAAAGCCCACGGCUCAACCGUGGAGGGUCAUUGGAAACUGGGAAACUUGAGUGCAGAAGAGGAAAGUGGAAUUCCAUGUGUAGCGGUGAAAUGCGCAGAGAUAUGGAGGAACACCAGUGGCGAAGGCGACUUUCUGGUCUGUAACUGACGCUGAUGUGCGAAAGCGUGGGGAUCAAACAGGAUUAGAUACCCUGGUAGUCC
rnacentral:rRNA from 1 species